rnacentral:rRNA from 1 species
AAAGGGUAGCAAUACCUGAGUAAAGCGGCGCACGGGUGAGUAACACGUGGAUAACCUGCCUCGAAGUGUGGGAUAACACCGGGAAACCGGUGCUAAUACCGCAUACCCUGACGAGAUCUGCGGAUUUUGUCAGUAAAGGAGCAAUUCGCUUUGAGAGGGGUCCGCGGCUGAUUAGCUAGUUGGUGAGGUAACGGCUCACCAAGGCAUCGAUCAGUAGCCGGUCUGAGAGGACGGUCGGCCACACUGGAACUGAGACACGGUCCAGACUCCUACGGGAGGCAGCAGUGGGGAAUUUUUGGCAAUGGGGGCAACCCUGACCAAGCAACGCCGCGUGGAUGGUGAAGUAUCUUGGUACGUAAAAUCCUUUCGACGGGGACGAAACCGCAAGGUUGACGGUACCCGUAGAAGAAGCCCCGGCUAACUCCGUGCCAGCAGCCGCGGUAAUACGGGGGGGGCAAGCGUUGUUCGGAAUUACUGGGCGUAAAGGGCGCGUAGGCGGCUCGCUAAGUCGGAUGUGAAAACUCUGGGCUCAACCCAGAGCCUGCAUUCGAAACUGACGAGCUCGAGUUCUGGAGGGGAAAGCGGAAUUCCUGGUGUAGCGGUGAAAUGCGUAGAUAUCAGGAGGAACACCGGUGGCGAAGGCGGCUUUCUGGACAGAAACUGACGCUGAUGCGCGAAAGCUAGGGGAGCAAACAGGAUUAGAUACCCUGGUAGUCCUAGCCCUAAACGAUGGAUACUUGCUGUGAGGGGGAUUGAAUCCCUUCGUGGCGAAGCUAACGCAUUAAGUAUCCCGCCUGGGGAGUACGGUCGCAAGGCUGAAACUC